rfam:Oryza sativa Japonica Group DNA, chromosome 8, cultivar: Nipponbare, complete sequence.
AAUAAGCGCAGUCAUACGUUUCCGCGUCCAACUUUGAUCGUCCGUCUUAUUUGAAAUUUUUUUAUAAUUAGUAUUUUUGUUGUUAUGAGAUAAUAAAAUAUGAAUAGUACUUUACUCGUGACUUAUGUUUUUAAUUUUUUUUAAAAAAAAUUCAAAUAAGACGAACGGUUAAAGUUGGACGCGGAAAACUAUAGCUCCACUUAUU